GCAUUAAUGGGGUAGUUGUAACCUGGGUCAUUGCCAUAAAUAUGGGCCUCCCAGAUUGACCCACCAGGGGUUCAAUUCCCUCUUAAUGUA
rnacentral:tRNA from 1 species